GGCGGACGGGUGAGUAACGCGUGGGAAUCUACCCAGUAGUGGGGGACAACUACCGGAAACGGUAGCUAAUACCGCAUACGCCCUAUGGGGGAAAGGCUUCGGCCGCUAUUGGGUGAGCCCGCGUCAGAUUAGCUAGUUGGUAGGGUAAAGGCCUACCAAGGCAACGAUCUGUAGCUGGUCUGAGAGGACGAACAGCCACACUGGGACUGAGACACGGCCCAGACUCCUACGGGAGGCAGCAGUGGGGAAUAUUGGACAAUGGGCGAAAGCCUGAUCCAGCAAUGCCGCGUGUGUGAAGAAGGCCUGCGGGUUGUAAAGCACUUUCAGUUGGGAAGAUGAUGACGUUACCAACAGAAGAAGCACCGGCUAAAUCCGUGCCAGCAGCCGCGGUAAUACGGAUGGUGCGAGCGUUAAUCGGAAUUACUGGGCGUAAAGCGCGC
rnacentral:rRNA from 1 species